rnacentral:tRNA from 2 species
GGAGAGAUGACCGAGAGGCCGAUGGUGCUCGCCUGCUAAGCGAGUGUGCUGUUAAAGGCACCGAGGGUUCGAAUCCCUCUCUCUCCG